rnacentral:rRNA from 1 species
AGGCGGGGGGCUCUAUAAUGCAGUCGUACGCUUCUUUUUCCACCGGAGCUUGCUCCACCGGAAAAAGAAGAGUGGCGAACGGGUGAGUAACACGUGGGUAACCUGCCCAUCAUAAGGGGAUAACACUUGGAAACAGGUGCUAAUACCGUAUAACAAUCGAAACCGCAUGGUUUUGAUUUGAAAGGCGCUUUCGGGUGUCGCUGAUGGAUGGACCCGCGGUGCAUUAGCUAGUUGGUGAGGUAACGGCUCACCAAGGCCACGAUGCAUAGCCGACCUGAGAGGGUGAUCGGCCACAUUGGGACUGAGACACGGCCCAAACUCCUACGGGAGGCAGCAGUAGGGAAUCUUCGGCAAUGGACGAAAGUCUGACCGAGCAACGCCUCGUGAGUGAAGAAGGUUUUCGGAUCGUAAAACUCUGUUGUUAGAGAAGAACAAGGAUGAGAGUAACUGUUCAUCCCUUGACGGUGUCUAACCAGAAAGCCACGGCUAACUACGUGCCAGCAGCCGCGGUAAUACGUAGGUGGCAAGCGUUGUCCGGAUUUAUUGGGCGUAAAGCGAGCGCAGGCGGUUUCUUAAGUCUGAUGUGAAAGCCCCCGGCUCAACCGGGGAGGGUCAUUGGAAACUGGGAGACUUGAGUGCACAAGAGGAGAGUGGAAUUCCAUGUGUAGCGGUGAAAUGCGUAGAUAUAUGGAGGAACACCAGUGGCGAAGGCAGCUCUCUGGUCUGUAACUGACGCUGAAGCUCGAAUGCGUGUGGAGCACACAAGAUAGUCCGGGUGUUCCAAAAAACCCGGGGAUCCAAAAAGGAAAGGGGGGGGGUCGGGGG